GAUGAACGCUGGCGGCGUGCCUAAUACAUGCAAGUCGAGCGAACAGACGAGGAGCUUGCUCCUCUGACGUUAGCGGCGGACGGGUGAGUAACACGUGGAUAACCUACCUAUAAGACUGGGAUAACUUCGGGAAACCGGAGCUAAUACCGGAUAAUAUAUUGAACCGCAUGGUUCAAUAGUGAAAGACGGUUUUGCUGUCACUUAUAGAUGGAUCCGCGCCGCAUUAGCUAGUUGGUAAGGUAACGGCUUACCAAGGCAACGAUGCGUAGCCGACCUGAGAGGGUGAUCGGCCACACUGGAACUGAGACACGGUCCAGACUCCUACGGGAGGCAGCAGUAGGGAAUCUUCCGCAAUGGUCGAAAGCCUGACGGAGCAACGCCGCGUGAGUGAUGAAGGUCUUCGGAUCGUAAAACUCUGUUAUUAGGGAAGAACAAAUGUGUAAGUAACUAUGCACGUCUUGACGGUACCUAAUCAGAAAGCCACGGCUAACUACGU
rnacentral:rRNA from 1 species